rnacentral:tRNA from 1 species
UCUCAUGGUGUAAAUGGUGAGCAUAUUUAACUGGUAACUAGAAGAUCUGUGGUUCGAGUCCCUGCAUGGGAA